GUGAGAGGAAGGUAGAAUUCCAGGUGUAGCGGUGAAAUGCGUAGAGAUCUGGAGGAAUACCGAUGGCGAAGGCAGCUUUCUGGCAUCAUAUUGACACUGAGGUUCGAAAGCGUGGGUAGCAAACAGGAUUAGAUACCCUGGUAGUCCACGCCGUAAACGAUGUCUACUAGUCGUUGGGUCCCUUGAGGACUUAGUGACGCAGCUAACGCAAUAAGUAGACCGCCUGGGGAGUACGGCCGCAAGGUUAAAACUCAAAUGAAUUGACGGGGGCCCGCACAAGCGGUGGAGCAUGUGGUUUAAUUCGAUGCAACGCGAAGAACCUUACCUGGUCUUGACAUAUCUAGAAUCCUGCAGAGAUGCGGGAGUGCCUUCGGGAAUUAGAAUACAGGUGCUGCAUGGCUGUCGUCAGCUCGUGUCGUGAGAUGUUGGGUUAAGUCCCGCAACGAGCGCAACCCUUGUCCUUAGUUACCAGCGGGUUAAGCCGGGAACUCUAAGGAUACUGCCAGUGACAAACUGGAGGAAGGCGGGGACGACGUCAAGUCAUCAUGGCCCUUACGACCAGGGCUACACACGUGCUACAAUGGUAGGUACAGAGGGCAGCUACACAGCGAUGUGAUGCGAAUCUUUCAAAGCCUAUCGUAGUCCAGAUUGGAGUCUGCAACUCGACUCCAUGAAGUAGGAAUCGCUAGUAAUCGCGGAUCAGAAUGCCGCGGUGAAUACGUUCCCGGGCCUUGUACACACCGCCCGUCACACCAUGGGAGUUGAUUGCACCAGAAGUGGUUAGCCUAACGUAAGAGGGCGAUCACCACGGUGUGGUUGAUGACUGGGGUGAAGUCGUAACAAGGUAACCGUA
rnacentral:rRNA from 1 species